rnacentral:pre_miRNA from 1 species
CCAACAUUCGGACCGUCGAUCUAAUGAGCAACAUCACCCACUCGGUAGAAGAUCUUCCUUUGGUCGU